GGCAACUUCAUGCACCUUUUGGUUCUAUAAAUACCCCCCCAUCCAUCCUCUCUCUCCCCAUCGAGUCGAGUGUGUUUGCAUAUCAUCCGGUGUGAGAGGAGUUCCUUCAUUCCUAAGCUCGCUGAUGGCUUCCAACCAGAUCAAGACGGCCGCGCAUGCCCGAGGGGGCGUCCCCAAAUGUCCAUGCGGCAACGAGUCUCGUUGGGCCAUGGAACCUGCAGACAAAAUCACUGGCAUCAGCAUUGGCGCUGCUUCAUGCGUAAACUCCAUUAAGAUAACCUUCGACAUCGACGGAACCACUCGCGUAACUCCCAGAUAUGGAGGCCCCGGCGGUGAACUAUUCCAGGCAUGCCUCUCCGACCUCCAUCCAUCCAUGCAUCUAUUCUUUUGCCUUCCCCUCCCUCCUACUAAUACCUGCUAUCAAAUAUAUAAGUCGCUAAAUGUAUCAUCGCUCUAAUUGCCUCGCAGUUUACUCUCAUGCAAGAUGAAUACCUCACCUCCGUUUCUGGGUAUGUCAAACACGACUGUUCUGAAUUUCCAUGUGUAUCUCAACUCACGUUUACCACCAAUCUUGCAAAGACAUACGGUCCAUAUGGAGGUGGGGGUGGAACCUUUUUCGAAGUCAACGUAGAAUAUGACGAGAUUAAGGGCUUCUUUGGUCAUGCAACUGAAGAGUAUCUCACUGCAUUUGGAGUCUACGUGAUGCUGGCUUAGCCAACCCUUGUGGAGGGUGUUGACUAUCUAUCUCUAUCUCUGUGUGCCAUGAUGAAUAAGGAUGCCAAUGUCUGUUACUGGCAUCUAUGUUUGAGUUGGGUGUGUGUUUGAGUAGUGUGAAAUAAAGUCUAUCUUAUUAAUGCUAUGAUGUAUCUCACUGCAUUUGGAGUCUACGUGAUGCUGGCUUAGCCAACCCUUGUGGAGGGUGUUGACUAUCUAUCUCUAUCUCUGUGUGCCAUGAUGAAUAAGGAUGCCAAUGUCUGUUACUGGCAUCUAUGUUUGAGUUGGGUGUGUGUUUGAGUAGUGUGAAAUAAAGUCUAUCUUAUUAAUGCUA